GGAGGAGCCUAUCUCGCCUCUUCGUCCUCCCAUUCGCCACACCCAUCUUCCCCGCACUCGCCGCUGCCACCACGCUUCGUCCCUCGUGCUCUGCCUCCUCCCUUCCCCUCCCUCCCGUCGCUUCAUCCCUCGUGCUCCGCCUCCUCCCAUCCCCUCCCGUUGCCCAAAUCACUCUGAAGAAUGACGGGGCAAGAGUAGAGAUGGCGACGGCAGACGGAUCCGAAGAUGGCGGGGCGGCGACCACUCCUGUGAGGCCCGACGGCGAGCAGCUCCUCCUGCUGAGCGCUGAGGGGGUGGGGAGAAGCAAUGUACCCUCCUCCCCCGAUGACCCGGCCCCCAAACCACUCCACUACGGCGUCCCGACCCGCGCCUCGAUGCCCUGCUCGGCGCCUACACCAGGUUCUCCGUCCACUCCGUGGCUGGCAGCAAGGGGCUGGCCGACGGGGUGCUCGGUGAGGUCGAGGACGCCGCGUACUGCCUUCCACCUCACGUUUGCCCCGCCACCACCCACUGGCAGGAGGCCCCCGCCACUCCUCUUGAUCCUCCACCACGUUGCCGUCACCGGGAGGAGGUGCUCAUUGCCUUCGGGAACCACCACGGCCAACGGAUCUAUUGCUGCGUUCGUCGAUCUGUUGGUCCGCUAUCUAUAGGUGCUCGUUGUUCUGCCCAGUUCGUCAUGUUCGGUCUUCGGCCACCUCUUUGCAGGGUCGUAUUCUUAAUAACAGUGCAAGGUACUUUGAGUAAAUGGUCCACAAAUCAGUGCAUCUGGAGUGCUAGGAUGUGUGGGGACAAAAAGAUGCCAUUGCAUAGGCCCGUUGGCAGAGAAAUCAAAGGUUGGGAAUACCACGCUUUACCAGGCGUUGUCAGCAAUGAUUGAUGAGAUAAUUGGUUUAGCUGCUUUCGGAAGAGGCGACGGGAAUCAUAAAAACCAUGAUGGGUAUGGAGAUCAACAUGAAGAGAGAUGGAAGAGUUGCAGAUGAGAGGGGAGACGAGCGUGGGUGGAGGUCAGGCUUUGGCAAGGGAGACGUGGGUCCGCGGUGGAGUGUGAAAGAUGACGUCGAUUGGCCGUUGUCGCGCCACAGGCUCCUGUUUGGCAGCGGCUAUAUGCACGGUCGUCGAAGAAUAUCGCUAUGAUGUAUAUUUCUGUGGGUUUCUCCAUUUGAAUGCUUCUCCUCAACGACCGUGUCAAUCUGGCUUACGUUUGCAACUGUGAUUUUGGUUGAGAGAAAGUCGAGGACAAUUAGAGAGUUCCAUGCCAUUUAUGCAGAUGAAGAUGAUAAUGAGAAAUUCCAACAUUAUGCCUUUCCCGUUGAAGAAGCAAAUUCUAGCAGAGAAGCCAAUUUUGUAGAUUGAAGAACUUUAGGUUGACAAGCCUGCAAAAGCCUGUGUAAACUGUGUUCUUUAAGCCGCGUCGAUCUGUCCAUGGACACUGACCUGGGCUGUCGCGGCUUCACCCACACCCAGUGCCUCCCCAAUAUGUACGACCAACCAACACAAAGAGGCACAAUGUCCUUGACCUUGGGGUUGGCGCUGCACGCCGACGCAGCCGCCGACGAUUUGUCCUUGGAAACAGACAUGGACGAGUUUAACAACCCAGGCCAGAGAAAAAUGUUGCCUUCUCUUACAUCGAUCUGUGGUUCCAUCCCAUGGAUGUACUAGCUACAGUGGGAGGGGCGGAAGCGCCUGCCACUGCGAGGACUGCGAAGAGGUGAGGUGCUACUGCUACUGGAACCACGACCAUGGCGGCACCAAGAAGUUCCUCCUAUUCGCAUCCCACGACAAAGAUUAUCUGGUCACAACGCCUCUUCCCCCAUCUGUCUUUUUGUAUGUGCUGCUCCCGUCGAUCGAUUCAGACUUCAGAGUUUCCUCUGCACAUUUCCUCCUUCUGGGACAUCAAAGGAGGGUUCAAUUUGAGGUUUUCUUUAGGGGCUGAUUUUUUUUGCUUAAUUUCAUCUUUGCCUCAAAAUGUUACUCUGAAUGAUACAUGCUAAAAUCUGUCUGGGAAUGGAUAUAACAUAACAUUUUGCCUUUUGGGAAAUCUGUUUCACAACAUAUGUAUGUUAUGCACCAAGAGGUGGCAAGAAGAAUACUCUGCACUGUACUGUACUAUGUGUGUGCCUGCCAAACUGUUUACUGAAUACUUUUUGCAAGUGAAAAAAUGCUUCAAAUGCUGCUAAUGCUGAGAACCACCGUUGCUGGUCUUAGAAAGGGAGGGGUUUUCAUGAUUAUUUUGGGUGUUAAAUUUUCACUGAAAAAAUAUGUUUAGUACCAUUCUUAGCUAGGUUUUGUGCAUGGAAUAAACUUGUUUCAGGAUAUUUUACCUGGAAGAACUGACUGACAACAAAUGAAGAGGUAGCAGUAAAACAAACACUCUGCACAUGCGUGUCAAACUAAUCAUUGAUACUCCAACUGAAGCUAACUCUUAUGAAGAUAGAGAAUUACUACACUGCUGUCUGCGUGCAUGUGAAGAUCUUUUGGAGAUAAUUACUUAUAUACCAAUACCAUGAGUCCGCUAUUUAUUAAUGUUCACCAAAAAUGAUGAUAAAUUUGGUAAUUAAUUGGUGUCUAUUAAGUGUAAACUUUAUCGAUUUUUUGUGUGAGUUCCGUGCCAAUGAGUCCUUUGGUUUUCUUUGUUUUCCAGAGCACUCAGUAAAUAAAACAGAGCACAGAGCAGUAGCCUUUGGACCAAGUUAUAGUUUGUGCUUGGUAUUAAAUGAUUUGGAGCAGGCUACAUCUGUGAUGACACAGAUUGGUUAUGCAGGAUCUCUUGGCUAAACCUUCUGCUUUAUCAUGAGGACAACAAUAGUGGUUAGUUCUCAUCUGAGCUUGAGUUGUGGUGAAUGCGACCGAUGUUUCGACCGCAUACGAAGAUGUAGUUCUUUUGAUUUAUCGACUAAUAUUAUCGUAUAUAGACGUGAUCCUAUACAGAGGCGAAGUGUGGUAGCAGACUACCCUAUCCUUAUUGUAAAUUAUGUGUGAUCACCGCUAUGAGGCAGUCCUUCGGAUGGAUUUAACACUCCAUGGUUGUUGUAAAUUAUGAAUAAAUUAUGCUGUAGUUUUAGUAUUGUUCUCUAAUC